GAUGAACGCUGGCGGCGUGCUUAACACAUGCAAGUCGAACGAUGAAGCCCAGCUUGCUGGGUGGAUUAGUGGCGAACGGGUGAGUAACACGUGAGUAACCUGCCCUUAACUCUGGGAUAAGCCUGGGAAACUGGGUCUAAUACCGGAUAGGAGCGUCCUCCGCAUGGUGGGUGUUGGAAAGAUUUAUCGGUUUUGGAUGGACUCGCGGCCUAUCAGCUUGUUGGUGAGGUAAUGGCUCACCAAGGCGACGACGGGUAGCCGGCCUGAGAGGGUGACCGGCCACACUGGGACUGAGACACGGCCCAGACUCCUACGGGAGGCAGCAGUGGGGAAUAUUGCACAAUGGGCGAAAGCCUGAUGCAGCGACGCCGCGUGAGGGAUGACGGCCUUCGGGUUGUAAACCUCUUUCAGUAGGGAAGAAGCGAAAGUGACGGUACCUGCAGAAGAAGCACCGGCUAACUACGUG
rnacentral:rRNA from 1 species